rnacentral:rRNA from 1 species
UACGAAGGGGGCUAGCGUUGUUCGGAAUUACUGGGCGUAAAGCGCGCGCAGGCGGUCUUUCAAGUCAGUGGUGAAAGCCUGGAGCUCAACUCCAGAACUGCCAUUGAAACUGGAAGACUUGAGUACGAGAGAGGUGAGUGGAAUUCCCAGUGUAGAGGUGAAAUUCGUAGAUAUUGGGAAGAACACCGGUGGCGAAGGCGGCUCACUGGCUCGUAACUGACGCUCAGGCGCGACAGCGUGGGGAUCAAACAGG